CCUUUGCACAAUGCCUUUCACUUAAAUAGCAUUUGGAUUUCUUAAAAUCCACAAAGUUUAUAUUAGAGCGUCAUCCAUUAAUGCUUUGGCUAGGAGGGGGUCUAUCGCCCUGGUUGGAGUGCAGCAGUGUAAUCAUAGCUCACUGCUGCCAUGAACUUCUGGGCUCAAGCGAUCCUCCCACCUCAGCCUCCCUGUGUGCUGGGAUUAAAAGUGUGAGCCACCGUGCCUCAUCGUAAGGGUCUUAAAAGAAACCCUAUUUCAUACUUUCUUGAUGCACUUGAUAUGGAUUAUAUAAAUCUAUGGACAAAAAUGACAUCAGUACAAUGGAAUAUUGGAGUUUUCUACCAUAAUCUCUGCAUAGUGCACUGAUUUUGACAAUCACCUAUGGAUGAAAAUACAUUUGCCAGAGUCUAGGAGUUAAAUGGAAAAGUUAACAGCACACCGUUGGAGAAAAAUAUCUGGGAGUAGAUGCAUUCAAGGGAGUAAGAAGAACAAUUACCUGCAUCACCUCACCCCCAGGGUCCACUUCUUAGUGCCAAGAUAGACUCCCUUCAGCAGGCAAUUUCUCCCAUGGGGAAAAGGAGAGUAUAAUGAGUUUGCUUUCCAUAUGCUGGAUGAUGUGUGUGGAUUUUCAGUGUGUGUUUCAGAGUCUUAAAAGCUCAUGCUAGCUUGCUUAACAUACCUGCCAUAACUCAUGAUAUAGAACCCUAUGGAGAACUGUGUUGCAACAUGGAUGCAGUGCCUAUACUAAGGCACAUUGCCAAGCUGAAGACUGUCAGAGAGCAUCACUAACGGAGGACCUAGUUGUCUCACCUGUGGUGGUGGAAAGAGCACCAAGCUUGGAACCAGAGGGCCCAGGUUCGGGUCACUGUCAUCAUGUGAGCAUGGGCAGGGCCACUGUCAUAAGGACGCCUGGAAGAGUGAAGAAAGGCCUGAUUGAUCACAAGGUCCUAUCAAAUGUCAAAGCUGGCCCUGGCUGACCUCCCAUCUAUUCAGAGCUGCUUUGAUUUAAUCUCCAAACUGGCUGCUUCUCCAGGCUGUGAGUUCUAUCUGCAACCCAUGUGUCAGCAUUGAGAUAUGACCUGCUUCACGCUCCAUUCAUCUCAUUUGAAGGACGGAAAUUAAACUCGAGGGUCGAAGAGGGGAACUGCUCAAAAUACACACACACAUUAACUGAAGCCUUUUGUAGAAGAGAAUUGAAAAUUUCAAGAAGGCAAAGGUGAUGGAAGUGUCUUCAUGAGACCCUUGGGUAACAUAAAUUGGCAAAGAAUUGGAUGAUCUGGGUUCUAAGAUCUGGCCUUAAAACUAGCCAUCUAUUGACUGAGUAAGUUACUUCACUUUUUGGUGGUCUUAGUCUCUUGAUAUUCACCACACAGGGUUUGGAAAAAAUGUAUUUCUUUGUUCCUACUAUGGCUAAAUUAUAUGGAUUUUUUCUGUCCUGUAUUCAGAAUCAAAUACUAGUUUUUCCUUCAUACCUCAAUAAUGUGUAUAAGCACCUAGGGCCAGAUACAUUCUAAGUGUUCAAUAAGUAUUUGUUGAGUGAAUGGAUGUACUUAGUUGUCUGCCUGGAUCAAUAGCUCCUUUAACACUCCAUUAUUAAAGCUUGAUAUUUUCCACACCUAGACUUAAGCAAAGUAUUAAAACAUGGAUGUUUUUGAUGCAGGUGAAAUAUUUUGCUACAGAGUGGUAGAGGAUCACUAGGCACAACCCUCUGCUCUUGAGUUGCUAAAAGGGCCUACUUCCAGAGAUGGCCAAGAAAGUUUGGGACUCUAGCACUCAGCUGAUUUUCCUAAAGAAAAGCCCUCAGGAUGUGCUCAAAGACCUGGAUCAGGCACACUGAGGUGAUGAUGGGAGGUCAGGAAAAUGGCCAGAAUGGAACUAAGAUUUAACUUCCCAGAACACUCAUAUAUGAUUUUUCUGAAAAGUUUUUUCCGCACCUUAGCAAUAUUAACUACUUUGAAUACUCAAGUCCAGAAUAAUUACAUUUUCCUUCUUUCACAUUCUGACACUUAUAUAUAUAUCACUUAUGAGAUAUUUAAUACUACUCUUUUGAGAAUAAAUAGUUUAUUUUUAGUGUGAUGAUGUCUUUUUAAUCCAAUGAAACUGUUAGCAUCAAUAAGGACAGAGAUACUACCUUUAUUUCUGGCACACAGUUCUCUGUAUCUCGCAAACUCCAGCACAGUAUAAUCUACUCAGCAUCAGACACAUGGGAAAACACUAUCUAAACAGGAAAGCAUUGUACAAACAUUAGUAGUUGUUAUUAUGAUUAGAAUUGAUGUUUCAGGUAAUUUAAUAAUUACUCUUACUUCUGGUACAUACCCUCCUCCAGGAAUGUAAAAGCUCGUCAGUGUUUACUGGGCUUAGCAUAGAUGUCCUGAGAUCUUAGCAUUUCUAAGAUUUCAAACUGUACAAGAAUAUACAAAAGAACAUUUAUCAUGCUCUCCAUUCAGAAGGAUAAUAUUAAAAAUUAAUAAGCAUUUUAGUCUGCUGGGAUGCAACAUAAUUCAGGGGAGGGGAGGAGGUCCGUCGCUAUCUUUUUCAAGGGCAAUUCACAACAACACUUUGCAUGAUAAAUUCCUGAAGCUUGAUGUUCUCCUCACCAUUAUACAAUGUGAGUGCUGACAAGGUCUUUUAAAAAUAACAAUACUUUAUUUUAAAUUAGUUCAUCUGUUUGGGGAAAAAGGCAGCAGUGUGCACCUAUAUAGGUGUCAUAUCCUUUAGUCCCAUAAAUUUCACAACUAAAACUAUAUCUUCUUUUUUUGUUUGUUUGAAAUGGAGUCUCACUCUGUUACCCAGGCUGAAAUGCAGUGGCACAAUUUCGGCUCACUGCAGCCUCCACCUCCUGGGCUCAAGUGAUUCCCCUGCCUCAGUCUCCUGAGUAGCUGGGAUUACAGGUGGCCACCACCGCACCCAGCUAAUGUUUGUAUUUUUAGUAAAGAUGGGGUUUUACCAUGUUGGCCAAGCUGGUCUUGAACUCCUGACCUCAGGUGAACCACCUGCCUUGGCCUCCCAAAGUGCUGGGAUUACAGAAAUGAGCCACCACGCCUGGCCUAAAACUAUAUCUUAAAAAAAAUAGUUCACGUAAGAAACAAAAAUCUUAAGGAAGGAAUGACUUUACUUGUGACUUAUUGAUGAUAAAAGGAACUUGGAAACAAUUUGGAUGCCCAAUAUUAGAAAUGCUUAAAUAAAUUAUACUAGCAAGAAAACACAUUAGAAAGAUGUUAACAUUUAGCACUUUAGAGCUUAGACAAAUAUAUAGAAAAAUUUUUUUUGGAAAAGCUUAAUGCGAUAUUUGUACACAAGUAUGUGAAAUGCUAUAUAUGAAUGCUAACAUUCCCCAAAAGCAAAGACUUAUUUUACUGGGUAGGCUGUUUGCAUUGUAUAAAAAACAUGAGUUUAGAAUUAGAGCUAGAUUUAAAUUCCAGUUCUUCCAUAAGCUGUGUGACACUUGCAAAUUAUUAAUCCUCUCUGGAUAUCUAUUUCCUUAUUAGCAAGUGUGUGUGUGUGUGUGUGUGUGUGUGUGUGUGUGUGUGUGUGUGUGUUAAGCAAAGCCACUUUAAGAGUCUAGGACAUAGUAGGAGCUCAAUGCUAUUAUUUCCCUUUCCCUUUACUAAAUACCUGAGACUCCCUUGGUUUAAAAAGUUUUGUUCAAAUUGACUGACUUUUAUAGAAAUUUCAAUGUCGUUGUUUUUGACCCAUGCAAGAAUUUCUAACAGAUGAGACUCUAUUAAUUAAUGUGAUGAUUCUCCUGUAAUUGGUCAAUAAUCUUUACAUUUGAAUAGAUUUCAGAACAGUAUUAAAUAUCUUGGGUUGGAGGUUAAUUUCUAUAAACAGAAAUGUAUAUCCAACAGUGUUGCAUUUUAGCUGAUCUUGACUAUAAACGAGUGCAAUUUGUGUUCAUUUCCCAUAUAUCAUUGACACUAAAUUUUGGAACACUUACAUCUGGGUUAUGUUUGAGUAACCUUCUGGGAGUAUCUCUCCAUAGAUUUGGGAAUGAAAUAUCUCCCAAAUAUAAUGCAAUUUCAGAAUGCCUAGAAACUCACUACGUAGUAUAUAUGCGUAUUUAAAAGAAACUGGUCUCAUACAUGAUAAAAGAAGGUUAAUGCUAGACAUAAUGACUAUUGCCACUUGGUAGCAGGGGCCAGAGAGAACAGGAAAAAGAUUAAACAAGAGGAUUAAAAUUAUUUUUCAAGUAAGGCUAUACCUCUGUAUACGUGCUUAAUUACAAAAGGAAAUUAGGAGCAAGUGCAUGUAUAUUACUGCAUGUAUAAACAUAGAGUUUAAUCGGUUUGGAGUAACUUAAUGACUGCUUGCAAUAUUUCUGGCGAUUUGUUCUAAGCUUUGUGAUUUUAAAUUGGUUUCUUGAAAAUGCUGGAUAAAACAUUUGAAUUCACACAUUGCUUUAGGAAUUGAUUUGGAGAUAAUAAAAUAUAAUGAAAUGUUUC
rnacentral:lncRNA from 10 species